CAGGAUCCUCAGGUUUGGCACUUUGCGAUACAAUUCCAACCUGGGAAUUCAAAUACACAGCUGAAUGAGAGAUAACUGCAGAAGAAAGACGGCGAGACUGCAGGAACAUCACUGUGUCUGAGUGAACCCACCUUCCCACACUGUUUACAUUUCCCCUCCUGCCGUCGCCUGUGGACCCAGUGGUGUCUCAGUACGUUCUGUUGGCAGACAAUUGCAACCCAGAGCUGUGAUUCCUCAUGUUUACAACCACACAUACAUGCUGACAUGAAGACACGCAGAAACACUCACAUCUCUGAGGCAUCUGGAACCUCCCUCCCUGAAGUUGCUCUAUGCAGCCAGUGUGAACAACGAUCUUACAGGCGGCACAUUUCCUCCUGGGGGAUGACUUCUUGAAGGACACACAGGGAGCACACAGCAGAGAGCGAGUGUGCACGUGCAUUGGUUGUUUGUUCUUUGUUGCCUUGUGACCGACUGGCGACCAGCUGGCGACCGGGUAUCCUGGCAAGACACAGCAAGUCCAGGACACUUUUCAUUUUCACAGCUAAACGAAGUUUACGUGACAAAAUGUGAAAUGUCUGAUAUUCAUAC